rnacentral:rRNA from 1 species
UACGUAGGGUGCGAGCGUUAAUCGGAAUUACUGGGCGUAAAGCGUGCGCAGGCGGCCUCGCAAGUCAGACGUGAAAGCCCCGGGCUUAACCUGGGAAUGGCGUUUGAAACUACGGAGCUGGAGUAUGGCAGAGGGGGGUGGAAUUCCACGUGUAGCGGUGAAAUGCGUAGAUAUGUGGAGGAACACCGAUGGCGAAGGCAGCCCCCUGGGCCAAUACUGACGCUCAUGCACGAAAGCGUGGGGAGCAAACAGG